CACUUUUAAGGAUGAAGAGUCUUGGCAGCCAAUGACAGAGUUUCUUAAUAAGAAAUGUAAGCGUUGUGGUUUCUAUGAGAAGAAUAUUAUCAUGUCAGAUGGUGUAUUUGAUGAGUGGGAGUUUUGUCCAUCUGAUUUUAAGGCUCCUGACGGAGUGUAUGUAAGGUUGAAGGAUAAGGAAGUCAGGCUACAUUUUAUUGUCCUGAAUGUGUUCCUCAUGGAACCGAUGUUGUAGCUCGGAAUCAUACUCUCAGCUCAGAUAAUGGCGACUCCAAGGGAAACAGAAUGCGUGUAACUUCUGUGAUUUUCAUAGCCGUAUUAGCUUCAAAUGGGUUCAUCAUUGGAGUACUCUAUCGGUACUGGCUAAGGAAGAAGAGCAUGCAGGCUCGAAGUGGAAGAAGACACAGAUUAUCUUGAAUAGAAUAAAGAGAAGCUCUUUCCCUCUCUCAGUAACCCCACCCUCUAUAACUGAUCUGUGUUUGUUUGCUGUUCGAAUCUGCUUCUCUUUUUAGCAGAAUGGAGCAGCCAUUAUUUUAGUUUCUUGUUAUUGUUGUUUUACCUUUUUGUGAAAAAAUUGUGAUUGGUUUUGGUUGUGGGUUGUCGUGUUCAGUUACGCAGAAAAUAAAGCUGGUGAUGAGUGGAGUGGCGGAGGUUUGCUGUGUCUUUUGAUUAAUAAAGAGAGAAGAACUGCCCUUUGUGCAUAAUUCCUGGAAUGAUUAUC